AUCACGGGAGACACACGGCGGGUGCUAACGUCCGUCGUGAAGAGGGAAACAACCCAGACCGCCAGCUAAGGUCCCAAAGUCAUGGUUAAGUGGGAAACGAUGUGGGAAGGCCCAGACAGCCAGGAUGUUGGCUUAGAAGCAGCCAUCAUUUAAAGAAAGCGUAAUAGCUCACUGGUCGAGUCGGCCUGCGCGGAAGAUGUAACGGGGCUAAACCAUGCACCGAAGCUGCGGCAGCGACGCUGAUGCGUUGUUGGGUAGGGGAGCGUUCUGUAAGCCUGCGAAGGUGACCUGUGAGGGUUGCUGGAGGUAUCAGAAGUGCGAAUGCUGACAUAAGUAACGAUAAAGCGGGUGAAAAGCCCGCUCGCCGGAAGACCAAGGGUUCCUGUCCAACGUUAAUCGGGGCAGGGUGAGUCGACCCCUAAGGCGAGGCCGAAAGGCGUAGUCGAUGGGAAACGGGUUAAUAUUCCCGUACUUGGUGUUACUGCGAAGGGGGGACGGAGAAGGCUAUGUUGGCCGGGCGACGGUUGUCCCGGUUUAAGCGUGUAGGUGUGUGUUCCAGGUAAAUCCGGUUCACUUUAACACUGAGGCGUGACGACGAGGCACUACGGUGCUGAAGCAACAAAUGCCCUGCUUCCAGGAAAAGCCUCUAAGCAUCAGGUAACAUCAAAUCGUACCCCAAACCGACACAGGUGGUCAGGUAGAGAAUACCAAGGCGCUUGAGAGAACUCGGGUGAAGGAACUAGGCAAAAUGGUGCCGUAACUUCGGGAGAAGGCACGCUGACACGUAGGUGAAGUGAUUUACUCAUGGAGCUGAAGUCAGUCGAAGAUACCAGCUGGCUGCAACUGUUUAUUAAAAACACAGCACUGUGCAAACACGAAAGUGGACGUAUACGGUGUGACGCCUGCCCGGUGCCGGAAGGUUAAUUGAUGGGGUCAGCGUAAGCGAAGCUCCUGAUCGAAGCCCCGGUAAACGGCGGCCGUAACUAUAACGGUCCUAAGGUAGCGAAAUUCCUUGUCGGGUAAGUUCCGACCUGCACGAAUGGCGUAAUGAUGGCCAGGCUGUCUCCACCCGAGACUCAGUGAAAUUGAACUCGCUGUGAAGAUGCAGUGUACCCGCGGCAAGACGGAAAGACCCCGUGAACCUUUACUAUAGCUUGACACUGAACAUUGAGCCUUGAUGUGUAGGWCAGGCGGGAGCCUUUGGAGUGCGGACGCCAGUCUGCAUGGAGCCGUAUUUGAAAUCCCAACCCUUACUGUUUGAUGUUCUAACGUGGACCCGUAAUCCGGGUUGCGGACAGUGUCUGGUGGGUAG
rnacentral:rRNA from 1 species